CAGUCCAGGCAUAUACAGAUAAGGCUGUUCUCAAGCAUGUUCCUGAGAUUGAGAAUUGCGCCGAUGUAUUCAUCACGAUUGCCAAAAACACGUCCACGACUGGGCAACAGAUUCAAGUUGGUUAACUCAACCACAUAUUCCAAACCCUCGGUCUAUUCGAGUCAUUGACUGUGGCUUAGAUUCCGGGUAUUUAUUCGGUAAUAUCGCCUUGCUUCUGAGGAAUCAAUAGAUCUGUGAUUUAUAUCUUGUGCACUAAAAACUC
rnacentral:sRNA from 1 species